rnacentral:tRNA from 3 species
GUGACGUAAGCCAAGCGGUUACGGCACCAGGUUGUGAUCCUGGGUUUGACGGGUUCGACUCCCGUACGUCACCCC